CCUACGGGAGGCAGCAGUGGGGGAUCUUCCGCAAUGGGCGAAAGCCUGACGGAGCAACGCCGCGUGAUCGAAUGAAGGCCUUCGGGUUGUAAAGAUCUGUUGACAGGGACGAAUAAGCCAUGCGAGUAGUUUGGUGUAUGACGGUACCUGUGUAGAAAGCUCCGGCUAACUACGUGCCAGCAGCCGCGGUAAUACGUAGGGAGCAAGCGUUGUCCGGAAUUACUGGGCGUAACGGGCGCGUAGAUGGGUGCUUAAGUCAGGUGUGAAAACUCUGGGCUCAACCUGGAGACUGCACUUGAAACUGGGUAUCUUGAGGGCAGGAGAGGAAAGUGGAAUUCCUAGUGUAGCGGUGAAAUGCGUAGAUAUUAGGAGGAACACCAGUGGCGAAGGCGACUUUCUGGACUGUACCUGACGCUGAGGCGCGAAAGUGUGGGUAGCGAACGGGAUUAGAUACCCGUGUAGUC
rnacentral:rRNA from 1 species